rnacentral:lncRNA from 1 species
AUGGCAAGAACAGCUCAAAUAAGCGAAGAGAAAUGACAGUCCAUCAUUACUUUAAGACAUGAAGCAGCUCCUGGACAGGGUGGCCACAUCAAAGUGUUUGAUCACCACCGAACACCUCCUCACAUCCAGCCAUGGUUUCUCAGGAGGCUGUUCCUCUUGGGCAUGGGAAGGGAAGCCAUUGGGCUCUCAUAUGGCUGGCGGCCUCCGUUCUCUGUGGGUGUAUGGAAGGUCACGAUCUGCCAAGUCUCAUAAUAUUAUAUGACUGCAGAGCGGAUGAUCGUUGCUGGGCUGCAAAUGUUAACGAGUCGAGACAAGAUCAGUGUGACCAAAGGAGAAACCACAACCCUCACCUUAAACCAAAUCCCUUAAAAUCAAAGCCAGUGUCAGAGGAGCAUGUACAAGAGGAGGCCAAGGUUGGGACUACUGGGAUCAGUGUAUUCCUCUUUGAUUGAAGCAUUAACGUGUGCGGUGACGAAAAAGGAUGUGUAAGACAUAUACUGUAUGACGUUUGGGAAUGUAUUAUUAGCAGUUAGACAAUGAGGAGUCAAGUUUUAUGGCUGUUAAGUGACCUCUGUCUCUGGUGUGGCCAUGUUGUUUCCCUUGUCAUUCUGUCAACACAUUUAGUACACGCAUAUGACAGAGGGAAUUAGCCAUCCACGUUACACAUGACAUGCCCAUGGAGACAUACAGUAUGUUACUAUACAGUACAUUCUCACACAAACACAUGUUGUUUACUCUUGAUUGCAUACCUUUUGAUUUAGAUUCUUUCCAGAAAUAGUUUAACAGGAUCUGUUUGAUAGACAAGUAAUUAACCCAAAGUGUUAUGAGGAGACAUUUCCUCCAUAUAAUGUGCUUUUGGCAAUCCUAUCUAUUCUAACUUCAGAAGAAGAAAAUACAUAUAUAAAUAUGAUUUUGUACGUUUGCCCACUGACAAAGAAAUGAUCAGUCUAUAAUUUUAAUGGUAGGUUUAUUUGAACAGUGAGAGACAGAAUAACAACAAAGAAAUCCA